AGCAGCCGCGGUAAUUCCAGCUCCAAUAGCGUAUAUUAAAGUUGCUGCAGUUAAAAAGCUCGUAGUUGAAUUUCGGGACCAUCAUGUUGGUCGUGCCUCGGUACGUACUGGCAUUGUUGGUUUCUCCCUUCUGACGAACCAUGAUGUCAUUUAUUUGGUGUUGUGGGAAAUCAGGACUGUUACUUUGAAAAAAUUAGAGUGUUUAAAGCAGGCUCACGCUUGAAUACAUUAGCAUGGAAUAAUGAAAUAGGACGUUUGAUUCUAUUUUGUUGGUUUCUAGGAUCGACGUAAUGAUUAAUAGGGAUAGUUGGGGGCAUUAGUAUUCAAUUGUCAGAGGUGAAAUUCUUGGAUUUAUUGAAGACUAACUACUGCGAAAGCAUUUGCCAAGGAUGUUUUCAUUAAUCAAGAACGAAAGUUAGGGGAUCGAAGACGAUCAGAUACCGUCGUAGUCUUAACCAUAAACUAUGCCGACUAGGGAUCGGAUGAUGUUAAUUUUUUAAUGACUCA
rnacentral:rRNA from 1 species